rnacentral:rRNA from 1 species
GGCGCACGGGUGCGUAACGCGUAUGCAAUCUACCUUUAACAGGGGAAUAGCUCAGAGAAAUCUGAAUUAAUACCGCAUAAUAUAGUGAACAGGCAUCUGUUUACUAUCAAACCUUCGGGGGUUAAAGAUGAGCAUGCGUAUCAUUAGCUAGUUGGUGAGGUAACGGCUCACCAAGGCUACGAUGAUUAGGGGGUCUGAGAGGAUGAUCCCCCACACUGGUACUGAGACACGGACCAGACUCCUACGGGAGGCAGCAGUAAGGAAUAUUGGUCAAUGGACGAAAGUCUGAACCAGCCAUGCCGCGUGCAGGAUUAAGGCCCUAUGGGUCGUAAACUGCUUUUAUACGGGACAAAACCACCCUACGUGUAGGGUGCUGAUGGUACUGUAAGAAAUAAGGAUCGGCUAACUUCGUGCCAGCAGCCGCGGUAAUACGAAGGAUUCGAGCGUUAUCCGGAUUUAUUGGGUUUAAAGGGUGCGUAGGCGGACUGAUAAGUCAGUGGUGAAAGCCUGUUGCUUAAC